CCCAGACGCGGCUGCCUGAGGGAGGGAGGAGAGGGCGGCGCCCCUUCCCCGCGGAGCGGCCUCGGAAGCGCGCCGGCAUCCGAAACUCGGAUCCCGAAGAUGCCCAGGCUCCGCCCAAGAGCCCUUAACCAGGCUCCCGGCUCUGAAUCUGACAGCUGGGGAUCCGACAUACCCCCCGGGCGGGCGGCGCUGAGCCCCAGUCCCCAGCCGCGGCCGUCCUCGCACGCGCACGCCGUCUUGCCCGUGCGGCCAGAACUUCAAACUUGGACUGGAACUAUACCACUGGCUCUCCUAGGUCUCCAGCUUACAAACAGAAGAUCACAAGACUUCUCAGCCUCCGUAAUCCUACGUGAAGUCUCUUUUUCACCCCUCGAAUCCAGGCUGGCCUCGUGACUUGCUUUGACCAACAGGAUGUGAUGGAAGCGACAUGUUAUAAGCUGCAGAGCCCAGGCCUCAGAGGCUUAGCUCCCGCCUUUAUCCUCUCAGAAUCCUGAGGCCACCACGGUGCCAGGAAGAAGACGGGGAUGCAGGCACACAUAAGAGAGAGGCUCAGCGCCCAGCCAUCCCAGCUGAGCCCAGCGUCCAGUGGAUACAGUCACCCGAGCGAACCCAGACAAGACCAGUAGAAGGACUGCUCAGCCACCCCGCAGAACUGGGAAAAAGAGUGAAUUGUCAUUUUAAGCCACUAAGUGUGGAGUGGCUUGUUUCUCUGCAAUAAACAACUAGAACACUUUGCAGGGUAACUUCCAAGACAAGGUCACUUCAAGGUCUUCAGGCAAGGCAGCUGGUGCUGCACGGGGAUUUACUGGAGCUAGGGGAGCUCUAAAUCGUCCAAAUCCUGCCAUAUGGCCUCUAAUUCCCUCCCUGAGAUCAGUGCCCUAAAUUUCACCUGAGAUCUAGCAGCACUGGGAAUUCAGCUGACAAACUGACAAUGUAAUUUGUUGACGGCAGCAUCAAACUCCUGUCUUGGUAAGUUAUAUAACACAGCUUAGCUCUCCCCUCCUGUUGGGCCUCCUCUCGGCUCCCCUGUUGAGUUUGUCAUCUCUGGUUUACACCAAGACAGAGGAAUGACAUGAAAAACAAAAGGAAGUCUGAGAGCUGGCCGCUUCUCAGUAGGUGUGUUUGAAGUGUCAGAACACUUUCUACUUCUUGCUGGGACAGCCAGGUGGAUCAGCUCAUGCCUGGACAUGUGGACUCCGUGCUCCCCCCACAAAUGAAACCCUGGCGGUAGGCACGUAGGGGAGCUGAGCAGACAUGUCCAUGUCACAGAGAGAGAGGAAGAAAGGUGACAGCAAGAGGUAUUGAAGGACCAAGUCCCCCAGAGAGCACCUGCAGGGAAAAUGUGGUGCGUGCGCCCAGAGAUGCUUCCCCAGAGCUCUGGGAGCACAGAGGCAGCUGCGCUUCUGACAGGGGCCCAGGAAGGGUCUCUGGAGAGUCGGUAACCUUUGAGAUAGGCUUUGAAGGAUGAGGAGGGCUCCACUGGCAGAGGUAGGGGGAGGCAUGAUACCAGCAGAAGAGGCCACAUGAGCAAAAGGAAAGGGAGGAAAGUCCAGGGGAGGGGAUAAGUCAAGCGGGGGCUGUGGGAAAAGGAGGGAAAUUGGAGGGGUGAGAGUGGCAAAACCAACUGCUCUGCUCCUGCAGAAGCGUUCACUGACCUCGGGGCCUCCCCGUCAGCCGCCUCCUCCCAGCCCCUCUCAGAGCAGUUCAGCCCAGCACCUGGCAGCCAGGCCUCCCUCUAUCUCACCCCCACCUCCCCUGGGCCCCUCGCUGUGUCCCAAGCUCCCAUGGCCCUUCCAGCGGCCGCACCUCUGUUCACGCUGGGCCUCUCUUCCAGAAUGCCUCUUCCCCUCUUUCCUACCAACCUCUAGCACCUCUUCUUCCAGGAAGUCUUCCCUGACCACUUCAGCUCUGCCUGACCCCCAGGUUGUAUGGCAUGAUGGAAAGAAUCAGCCUUUAAAGUUGUGGAGAUCUGGGUUCAAAUCCCAGCUCUGCAGUAUGAUCUUGAUUUACCUUCUCUUAUUAAUAGUUAAUAUUUCUCGGCCACAUAUUAUUUGCCAGGUACCAUGGGUUACCUCAUUUCGUUCUCACCACAGCUCUAUGAGGUACUUACUAUUAUCAUUCCCAUCUUACUAGUGAGGAAACUGAAGCUCAGGGAGGUUAAGUAUCUGGCCCAAGGCCACACAGCUAGGAGUGGCAGAACUGGGCUUCCAGUCUGGUCUGCCAGGCUCCAAUGCCUCUGUUGCUAAGCACCAGAGCACCCACUGGACCACUUCCUUUGAAUGAGCAUUCAUUAGACACCUCCUAUGUGCCAGGCGUUGUGCUGGGUUUGGGGAUGUGGCCAGGGCGUGGGUAGACAAGGGCUACUCUCAAGGUGGCUUUAGCUGCGGGGACUGGAGUAAAGAUUAUAUGGAAUCCCAUUGGUUACUGACCGCCUCCUGUAAACCGUGGAGCAUGGAGCUCACGCAUAUCGACCACCUCUCCUCCACAGCCAGCUGACCUGCGCUCCCAUACGUGCCAGGCUCCGUCACUGACCUGCCAGGUGGCCUUGGGUUGGUCACGUUAUUCUCUAAACCCCAGUUUUCUCUUCUAUAACUUGGGAUGGUAAUAGCUACCCCUGAGGGAAGCUCUAAGAAUUAAGAGCUUUCCUCAUGUGUACCCGGCAGUGUAGGGCACAUAGUCGGUGCUCAGUAAAAGUUAAUCCCCAUCUCCCCACACUUGCACUCACAUCCAAGACCCACACAGUGCAGCAGGGUCAUCAUCUUUCUGAGACUUUUAACAAGGAGGUCCCUUCAGUGGCCUCCAGGUGGCAAGAAAGCUCCACACAGAGCUGUGAUGGGCCAUCAAGGGUGCCGACGUGGCUGGUCCAGCCCCAGCCCAACCUUGACCUCCACCACCUGCCCUGCCACCCUUCACACCAGCAACCCCACCCCUCACUGUGAGGUGGGAGCACAGACCUCCCACCACCCUCCCGCCUGUGCCCGGAUGGAGGCAGGUAGCCUCAGGGCACCCUUUGUGUCAUCUGGGCAGCCCCACACUCAGCCCUGCCUUCCUUCACUGCCCAUGCCCACCUGGUGGGGAAGCUGUUGCAGGCUGAGCGUUGAGUCCAGGAGUCCCAGCUUCUAGUCCAGUCUCCCCAUCUCUGAACUAUACCUGUGUGAGUAGGAAGACUUCCCACCUAACUGGGCUCUUGUGGGGACUAAGUUGGACAACGUAUACAGACUGAGGUUAUGCACCUUUCCUGUUAAAAUCUGGCCAGUUCCUCUCCUGCCCUUUCUGUGUGUCACGGAGGAAGAACAACUCUCCAGCUGGCUAGGAGCAUUUCCCAGCUCAGCCCCACUGGCUGUGGAGCCUCAGGCAGGUCACUUAACCUCUCGCAGCCUCGGUUAUCUCACCUGUAAAAUGGGAAUAAUCCCUACCUAGCCAAGCCGUUAGGAGGCUGGGAUAAAAUUUAUAUAUAUCAAGUGACCAACAUGGUGUUCGGCACAUAGUAGAAGCAAAAUACAAAGGAAGGACCAGCUGGUAUUAUUAAAAUCAUUUUUCUGAUCAAGAAAUGCCUACUUACCCUUCAAGGCAGCCUACAUGUCACUUCCUCCUGGGAGUCUUCCUUGAUCUCCCCAUGGCAGUCAUGGCACCCACCCAUAGCACCCUUCUGGAUUCCCGAAGCCCUGGUGCCCUUCUAACACAGCUCUUUCACUUACUAAAAUGUUUUGAGUGCCUUAUGUGUGUAUGACACUGAAUUUGAGCGCAGGACAUACAGUGAUGAACAAGACAUGGGCGCAGUGGUUAAGAAUCUGCCUGCCAACUCAGGGGACGUGGG